UACGGAAGGCAGCAGUGGGGAAUAUUGCACAAUGGGCGCAAGCCUGACGCAGCCAUGCCGCGUGUAUGAAGAAGGCCUUCGGGUUGUAAAGUACUUUCAGUCGUGAGGAAGGUGUUAAGGUUAAUAACCUUAGCAAUUGACGUUAGCGACAGAAGAAGCACCGGCUAACUCCGUGCCAGCAGCCGCGGUAAUACGGAGGGUGCGAGCGUUAAUCGGAAUUACUGGGCGUAAAGGGCACGCAGGCGGUUAAUUAAGUUGGAUGUGAAAUCCCCGGGCUUAACCUGGGAAUGGCAUUCAAGACUGGUUAGCUAGAGUCUUGUAGAGGGGGGUAGAAUUCCAUGUGUAGCGGUGAAAUGCGUAGAGAUGUGGAGGAAUACCGGUGGCGAAGGCGGCCCCUGGGACAAAGACUGACGCUCAUGUGCGAAAGC
rnacentral:rRNA from 1 species